GCCGGGCGAGGUGGCGUGUGCCUGUAGUCCCAGCUACUGGGGAGGCUGAGGUGGGAGGAUCGCUUGAGCCCAGGAGUUCUGGGCUGUAGUGCGCUAUGCCGAUCGGGUGUCCGCAGUAAGUUCGGCAACAAUAUGGUGACCUCCCAGGAGCAGGGGACCACCAGGUUGCCUAAGGAGGGGCAACCAGCCCAGGUCAGAAACAGAGCAGGUCAAAACUCCUGUGCUGAUCAGUAGUGGGAUCGCGCCUGUGAAUAGCCACUGCAUUCCUGCCUGGGCAACAUAGCGAGACCCGGUCUCU
rnacentral:SRP_RNA from 1 species